AUCCCGACACGGGGAGGUAGUGACAAUAAAUAACAAUAUAGGGCUCUUUCGGGUCUUAUAAUUGGAAUGAGUACAAUUUAAAUCCCUUAACGAGGAACAAUUGGAGGGCAAGUCUGGUGCCAGCAGCCGCGGUAAUUCCAGCUCCAAUAGCGUAUAUUAAAGUUGUUGCAGUUAAAAAGCUCGUAGUUGAACUUCAGGCCUGGCUGGGCGGUCCGCCUAACGGUGUGUACUGUCUGGCUGGGUCUUACUUCUUGGUGAGCCGGUGUGCCCUUUAUUGGCGUGCAUCGGGGAACCAGGACUUUUACCUUGAGAAAAUUAGAGUGUUCAAAGCAGGCUAUUGCCUGAAUACAUUAGCAUGGAAUAAUAAAAUAGGACGUGCGGUUCUAUUUUGUUGGUUUCUAGAGUCGCCGUAAUGAUUAAUAGGGAUAGUUGGGGGCAUUGGUAUUGAGUCGCUAGAGGUGAAAUUCUUGGAUUGACUCAAGACCGACUACUGCGAAAGCAUUUGCCAAGGAUGUUUUCAUUAAUCAAGAACGAAGGUUAGGGGAUCGAAAACGAUCAGAUACCGUUGUAGUCUUAACAGUAAACUAUGCCGACUAGGGAUCGGGCAACCUCAAUAUUGAUGUGUUGCUCGGCACCUUACGAGAAAUCAAAGUCUUUGGGUUC
rnacentral:rRNA from 1 species